GAUGAACGCUAGCUACAGGCUUAACACAUGCAAGUCGAGCGAGCGGCGGACGGGUGAGUAAUGUCUGGGAAACUGCCUGAUGGAGGGGGAUAACUACUGGAAACGGUAGCUAAUACCGCAUACCAUCAGAUGUGCCCAGAUGGGAUUAGCUAGUUGGUGGGGUAACGGCUCACCAAGGCGACGAUCCGUAGCUGGUUUGAGAGGACGACCAGCCACACUGGGACUGAGACACGGCCCAGACUCCUACGGUAGGCAGCAGUGGGGAAUUUUGGACAAUGGGGGAAACCCUGAUCCAGCCAUCCCGCGUGUGCGAUGAAGGCCUUCGGGUUGUAAAGCACUUUUGGCAGGAAAGCGGUACCUGCAGAAUAAGCACCGGCUAACUACGUGCCAGCAGCCGCGGUAAUUC
rnacentral:rRNA from 1 species